UGGUUGCAUCUGGUGCGUUUCACUUAAGAGGGAACCGGACGAUCACAGAAUCCAGAACGCGUGUGUACUGUUUCGAGGUCCGUUGUGACUUAUUUGACAUCUCUUCCUGGUUCACAGGUUAAAGACUUUUUGAAGUAAAAAGGAGCAUCUCAUCUGAACCUGAUGACUAUCAUGGAUAUUUAACUGCAGUUCUGUGAGUAUCCCAACUUAACCAUGAAGAUGAACUGCAAACUGUAAGUCAUAAGUUUCUCAUUACUCUUGGGCACAUUGAUGUAUUUUGGCUUCCUGGUGAGUUAACCCGUUACCUGAAGGUUGAUCUGAGUAGUAAGGAUGUUUUAUUGGUUCAUGGGUUACUUUGGCGUUUGGUUUGGUUUAUGUUGGUUUUAAUGAUUUGUUAAAAUCGUUACAGGCUCCAAGUUAUUGUUGUAAGCUGGAGUAAUGGGUUGGGCUCUGUUAUCUUCAGUCUUCUUUCCAGCUACUUUCCUGAGCUCUGCAUCUUCAUCAAAUGAGUGUUGCUUUACUGAUGAGGCUGUGUUCUGAGUGAGCAGGGGUGCAUACUGGGAUACAGAGCUGUCUCAAGUCUACAGGUCUGUAGGCACGCCCCCUCAGGGGAAACCAAGUGUUUGAGAAACCGUCGUGACGUCAGUUACAUGGACUGGAAUGUUCUUAAAGAUGGAGACAGGGAUUCAGAAGGAGAAACACCAGGGGGGAUGAGGGGGCUCUUCAUCUCAACGACUAAAACACAACUUCAGUCUGACGCAGAGAACCAUGGAACACAUUCAACAGUCCCCUCCAGGCAUCGUGACUCCUCAGGAACAAUUUCAUUUCCAAGAAGAUCUUAUUUGGGGCCAUCCCAUGAUGGAUCCUGCUCCUCAAGAGCCACCCCCCUCCACUGGGUGGUCUUCUGAACAGAUGACCUCCUUCCUGUCCUCAGGCUGACUAAAGCUGCACCGUUUGCAUCUGUGAAGGCCCCUCAUUCAGGAAACCACUGGACUACAAGGACAUGACUUCAGAGAUGUUGAAUCAACCUGGGACACAUUUUGGAGACGCCAAGCAUAAUCCAUCACCAAUGUGGGACGCCACUGAAGAAUGUUGUACAUAAUUUACGUCUCUGGAGACAUUGGUUGUUCUGUUCUGGGUGCCCUGGCAGGAGAGCAGGGGGUGUAUGUUGGGAUGAUAUUUGGCAUGAGGUUUUUACCCUGCAUGAUUGUUUGGUCUUUUGUGUGUGUGUGUGUGUGUGUGUGUGUGUGUGUGUGUGUGUGUGUGUGUGUGUGUGUGUGUGUGUGUGUGUGUGUGUGUGUGUGUGUGUGUGUGUGUGUGUGUGUGUGUGUGUGUGUGUGUGUGUGUGUCAUGAGAUGGAUGAUUUUUGAGCAUCACUAGGGUUAUACUGUGUGUGUGUCUCCCACACACACCUGGCAUGGGGUUCUACGCAUGUUUGGUUCCACCUGGCAUGGGGUUCUACGUGCGUGUCCUGGGUUCUAUGUCUGUGCGUCCUGCUUGCUUUGACAGUGAUAAUGUUCAUACGGGCCGUCUGUGUGGUUGGCUUGGGAUAUUGGACUGGUCAACUAAAUCAUACCUGACGGACGGCCACAUGUUUACUUGAGGCCUCCAGUAGACAUGAAGAGCCCUGAGUGACGCUCCGGAGCGAGAUUAUCCAAAUCAAGUGUAACAGGAUGCAAGUGGCAUGUUCAGAUCAGUGACUUCAAACUAGGACUGCACCAAUCAGGAUCAAUGGAGGAUGGACACCUAAAGGCAUUCCACAAGGAGUCUGAAGUUGGAAAGGAGGGACCUAAAUGGGUAUUCAAGAUGACCUUCAGACCUGUGAUGAGACGGCUCUUCCUACCUGGCUGGAUUGAUGGAGAGCCCUGUGGAUCUUGUCUUGCUCUCAGUUGCACGUCUUCUCAGGCUGUACUGUAUUUGUUUCGGACAGGACUAGCUGAACUAUUGGUUCCCUUAAAUCAGAACCAAUCUGGGAACUCCAACUAGUGCGCACUUCGAGCUCAAGGUGUAAAGAGGAGAAUGUUUCAAAGUGUUCCAUGGUACUCUGAUGAAGACCGUUGUUGUGUUCCACUGGCUGAGAGGAAGAACCCUCACAUCUUCCUCUUGGCCUUUCUCCUCUGAGAAUCCUGGCACCAUCUUGAAGGAUAUUCCAGCUCAUGUAACUGAUGUCACGACAGAUUCUCAAACACUUGGUUUCUCCUGAGGGGCGUGUCUAUAGAACUGAAGACUUCAGACAGCACUGUAUCCCAGCAUGCAUCUCUGCUCACUCAGACCACAGCCCCAUGAGUAGGAUGCAACACUCUAGUGAUGGAGAUGUAGAGUUUUAUAAGUAACGAGGGAGCAGACAAAGGUGAUUAACACAAUGGCAUGUCAAGUCUGUAAAUCUUUAAACCAUGAAGAUCGGUUGGAUAGUUCAGGAAUUGGGCUAUUUUUAUUAUAGGCAGUCCUUUCACUCAGAUUGCCCACUUCUCACUGGACCUGUACGUGUGUGUGCUGGCUGGCAUGAUUUGCUGUUGGUGAUGAGGCGGUCAGGGUGACGUUGCAGGGCUAUGGUCGGCUCUCUGUGAGCUCAACGUUUAGAUUUUCUUUUUAUGGUUUGUACCCUGAAUAAUCUAGAUAAUUGUAAAAUGUAGACACGGUUUUGUAUUGAAUGAUUUUAGGUUUAAAGUUGUUGUGGGACGUACAUGCUAGUUUGGUUCUUCGUACGGUUUUGAGUGAUAUAACUUGUACACACUGGGUGCAUAAUCUAAAGGUACACUGAAUAGUAGUAAUGUCCAACAGCAACAAACGGAUCACAUCAAGGUAAGUCUGUUGGCUGUGUUUUUAAUGAAGACCAUCGCUGGACUUCAGGAUCUUCCUCCGUUCAGCUCAAGGUGAGGCGCUGGUUAUGUUUUUUCUUUGGUUGGUUCCGGCCGGAAUGUUCGGAUUCCAGUCGGACGGUUUGUGCUUCCCGCCGUGGAAGGUUCUGAGUGCGGUCACUUGAUUUAGUCUCUCUUAGCAUAGAACGUUGUAGUCUUGGCAACCAUAAGAAACCACCUGGCAGUUAGUUGGACGGGAGUCCCCUGAGGGAAUCUGGCGGAACUGGAUUGUAUUUGCGUAACCUCGAGCCGUUGCCAACGUAAACUAUUUUUCAGUCGUUUCCAUUGGGAAUUGUUGCCCCUUAUCUUAAACAACUUAAGUUUGAUAUUAAAUACAUACUGACACGUACGUCGUACAAUAUGUUGAUAAUUUCCGAUGGUUGCUUGCGCCGUACUUUUAACCACGUUGACGUGACGGGACUCUCGCCGCGUACAAAACGGCGUUCUACUUGCGGGCCCAUUUUUGACAUCAGUGAAGGCUGAAAAUCAUUUCAAGGUGGAAGACAAUUUGACAUUUCUUCAACGGAACCCAGCACCUGAAUAUGGCGAGUAAUAUAUUUGAUUUAAUAUCGAUACUGCUUGGUGUUCUUUGUUACUUCAGCUUUUGUACGUUCUAAAUAUCUGCUGUCAUUAAUUGCCACGGAAGUUAAACCCUACCCAAUGGAAUGACGUUAAACAACGACUUUGGUGCAGAGUUACCAACUGGAUAAUAUCAAAGCUAAAAUAAUGGCCGUCCUUCCCACGUGUUACUGUAGAAGAUACUCUAGAACUGUACAAGGUUAAGAAGGUAACAUAUAGUUUGUCGCCAAGGUGUCUGCCUCCUCACCCAGAGCCAGACCUCCACCUCCUCACCCAGAGCCACACCUCCACCUCCUGUCAGAAGUCCUCCAGAACAGCUGAAAGGCGAGGCUGAGAGGCUGGGGACCGGAGGCUUGUGGUGCCAGGAUGGACCGGAGACUGAGGCUGGAGACCAGGGGCCUGCAGCACCGGACCAGAGGGUAACCAUCACCAAGCUCAUCUGAAACACUAAAAUCCACGACCAGGAAUCCAUGGCUGAAGGAGCUGAUGGAGUCGUGCUGAAUGAGCUGGUGGAGUAGCUGGUGGAGGCCCUGCCUGGUGGAGGAGCUGAUAGAGGCCCUGCUGGUGGAGGAGCUGAUGGAGGCCCUGCCUGGUGGAGGAGCUGGUGGAGGCCCUGCCUGGUGAAGGACGUCUGUCGUGGGACCAGGACUCUGUCUGAGCAGAGCUGCUGGAGGAGCUGAGACGCUGGAGGACGACAUCACUCUACCAACCAGGAUCCUCAGACGUUUGUAACCAGACCAGGAAUCUGGAGGACUGAUGGAGAAGCCGUACACCUGGAAGGCAAAUCCUGAGGACAACUAGGACUCUACCAUCAAGGAUUCCUCACACACCUAAGCUGAACCCGCCCUGAUCCUGACAUCCUGCUGGUCCCGUCUCCUCAGUUCAUCUGCGCCUCGUCCUCUAGAAGACCUGCUGAGCUCAGCAGUCUGAGGCUGAUGGAUCAAUGACCUCCAGUGGGAGUGAUCUUCUUGACCCCACAUGUAACCGUGUGCUUCCACACGCCUUUCUCUCACGUCUGUCACUAACCUCACUACUUCCUCUUCUUCUUCCUUCUCUGUGGUUCGAACCUUUACACUGGAGGCGCGUCUCCAUGCCCUCAGAGGGUUCAGCGUUAGGGUUGAGAGUCAGGGUUUAGAGUCAGGGACAGAGCUGGUCAGGGAGGACUGCUUUUACACAAACCUCUUCACUUGCUUUCAGAAUUGUGGUGACAUUUUGAAAAGAUUCAUUUGGGAAAAUGUUUUCCUCUGCUUUCCUUUACAAAAUUGUAUCAAACUUCUGUCAAGUGUUUUUGUUUAUAUAUUAAAA